rnacentral:siRNA from 1 species
AUCACAUGCCAAGUUUGGCCU